rnacentral:rRNA from 1 species
UACGAAGGGGGCUAGCGUUGCUCGGAAUGACUGGGCGUAAAGGGCGCGUAGGCGGAUGGUACAGUCAGAUGCGAAAUUCCUGGGCUUAACCUGGGGGCUGCAUUUGAUACGUGUUGUCUAGAGUGAGGAAGAGGGUCGUGGAAUUCCCAGUGUAGAGGUGAAAUUCGUAGAUAUUGGGAAGAACACCGGUGGCGAAGGCGGCGACCUGGUCCUUUACUGACGCUGAGGCGCGAAAGCGUGGGGAGCAAACAGG